rnacentral:rRNA from 1 species
GGUAGUCCACGCCGUAAACGAUGAUAACUCGUUGUUGGCGAUAUACAGUCAGCGACUAAGCGAAAGCGAUAAGUUAUCCACCUGGGGAGUACGAUCGCAAGGUUGAAACUCAAAGGAAUUGACGGGGGCCCGCACAAGCGGUGGAGCAUGUGGUUUAAUUCGAUGAUACGCGAGGAACCUUACCUGGGCUUAAAUGCAGAGUGACAGUCCCUGAAAGGGGAUUUUCUUCGGACACUUUGCAAGGUGCUGCAUGGUUGUCGUCAGCUCGUGCCGUGAGGUGUCGGGUUAAGUCCCAUAACGAGCGCAACCCCUACUCUUAGUUGCCAUCAGGUAAAGCUGGGGACUCUAAGGGAACUGCCUACGCAAGUAGAGAGGAAGGUGGGGAUGACGUCAAAUCAGCACGGCCCUUACGUCCAGGGCUACACACGUGCUACAAUGGCCGGUACAGAGGGCAGCCACCUGGUGACAGGGCGCGAAUCUCUAAAGCCGGUCUCAGUUCGGAUCGAAGUCUGCAACUCGACUUCGUGAAGCUGGAAUCGCUAGUAAUCGCGUAUCAGCAAUGACGCGGUGAAUACGUUCCCGGGCCU